rnacentral:rRNA from 1 species
AUUGAACGCUGGCGGCAGGCCUAACACAUGCAAGUCGAGCGAACCUAGCUUGCUAGGUGAGCGGCGAACGGGUGAGUAACACGUAGGAAUCUGCCCGAUAGUGGGGGACAACGUCUCGAAAGGGACGCUAAUACCGCAUACGCCCUACGGGGAGCAGCAGGGGAUCUUCGGCCCUUGCUCUAUCGGAUGAGCCUGCGUCGGAUUAGCUAGUUGGUGGGGUGAAGGCCUACCAAGGCGACGAUCCGUAGCUGGUCUGAGAGGAUGAUCAGCCACACCGGAACGGAGACACGGUCCGGACUCCUACGGGAGGCAGCAGUGGGGAAUAUUGGACAAUGGGGGCAACCCUGAUCCAGCCAUGCCGCGUGUGUGAUGAAGGCCUUCGGGUUGUAAAGCACUUUAAGCUGGGAGGAAGGUUCGCUGGCUAAUAUCCAGCGGAAUUGACGUUACCAGCAGAAUAAGCACCGGCUAACUCCGUGCCAGCCGCCGCAGUAA